CCGCCACCAGGGACAGUAGAGAGCCCGGGGUGGGAGGCGUGCUCGGUAGAGAACCAUGGCCGUCGGAAAACGAAGAUGGUCGCUUCAGCCACGGUCAUUUAUCAAUUGAGUGACUAGACUGUCUCUAGCCAAGACUGGGUUGAGGGUGGGGAUCGCAGAAAGUUCGAGGCGGGCCUCACUGGGGUAGGGGGACGGGUGAGGAAACUGAGGCCCGAUCGGAUUUUGUUCUUAAUUGCUCUGCGGAUUUUAUUGGGGGGGCGGGGCGGGGUCAUCUGGGGUGAUUGUAUUAGAGAAGGAGGGGAGACUCCUGGGGAAUUGUGCGACGUCCAACUCAGCUGCUUUUAGUUGGGGCGAGGGCGGUGAGGAGCGGGCGACAGAGGGCGCCGGAGAGCGCGGGGCUGGGCCGGGCUGUUAAUUAUCCCCAAGUAGGGGGCGAACCCCGCAGCCACCGGGGUGGGGGUGCGGGGAGUGGCUUUAAUUACGAGAAAGAAAAAUAAUUAAAAUGACGUGAAGAACAGAAUAAUUUAACACCCUCUGCUACUCCUGACUGUUAUUUUUCAGACGACUACCCCGGCUUCGUUUUUGAAAUAAUAAAAGGGUAAAAACAGCUACUAGAGUCAGGGUGAGAAUUUCCAAACAUUUGGAAACCAGUUUAAAUUUGCAAGACCACGAAGCUUUUUCUGCAUUCCGCUUUCCCCAUCUUCAUCAGCCCUUUAGCGAUGAUCUCAGUGGCAUUUAGUCUGGAUUAAAUUGUUCUGUGUACGGUAUUGUGUUGUGGGUACUUAUUUUCAAGUUACCACUUUUGUUAAUGUUUGCCUCUUCAUUUGAUUGUGAGCUCUUCAAGGCAGAAGUCUAUUUUAAUUUUUUUUCUCUUAAUUUCCCCGCAGGGCCUCGUUAGUAUUCCUCUGCCUCUGCUCACGGACUGUGAAAGAGUGCCACAAAUCCUGUUCAACAGAAAUCUGGGACCACUGAACAUAGCUUUAAAUUCCUGGAGAAAAAGAGACAGAACAACAGGGACCCUAUUUAUUGAGAAUAGAUGACCUUGGGUUGUGGUGGAUUCUUUCCUGUGUUGACCAGUAGCACCCAUUUCACUAGCCUGCUCUGCAGAUCUGUUGCUUCUCAAAAUGAUUGUUUAAUGGUUUUUUUUAAGUGAAUUUGAAAAUGUAUAAUCCCUUUGACCUGCUCUGCUGUUUCUCGACAAGCUUCUCCUUCCCAGAAACCCCCACCUUCUCACAACUGCAUCACCUUUCCUCAGGCUGUUUGUUCCCUUUGCCUUAACAUUUCCUUUCCCUCGUUCUCUAUUCUGUGUAGCAAAUCCCAGCUCCCUCUUCAGUAUGUCCUCCGUGAAGUCUUACCUGAGAUGCUCUAACAGUCUGUCCUCUAGUUCUUUCCUCAGUGUUCCCCCGAUAGGCCGGUUUAGCACAUGCUCUGCGACCAGGCGGACCUGGAGUCCUGUGCCAACUCUGCUGACUCGAGCUGAGUAGCCCCGGGCAGAUGCCUUCACCUGUCUCUAAGCCUCCUUACCUGCAACCGGAGGAGUAGGGGGCCCUUCCAAGCCUCGCAGGACAGUGGUAGGGUUGUGCAUGCAAAGCACCUAGCACGGGCCUGGCACAAGGGAAGCUCUCCGUAAAUGGAGCUCUUGUGUGAAUAGACGUACUUUUACUGCUCACUGUUUUGUGGUUAUUUGUUUUCAUGUCUGGCUUUUCCACUAGACCGUGAGCAAGACAAGAAUCAAGUCUUCAUUCUUGUGUUUUGUUUUGUGUUUUAACUGUUUAAGUCAUCUUUAUUAAGGUGUAAUUUACAUUCAAUAAAAUGCAUCCAUUUAAAAUGUA